GUGAGGAAUAUUGGUCAAUGGGCGAGAGCCUGAACCAGCCAUCCCGCGUGAAGGAAGAAGGCGCUAUGCGUUGUAAACUUCUUUUUCAGGGGAAUAAAAUUUCGUAUGUAUACGGAACUGAAGGUACCCUGAGAAUAAGCAUCGGCUAACUCCGUGCCAGCAGCCGCGGUAAUACGGAGGAUGCGAGCGUUAUUCGGAUUUAUUGGGUUUAAAGGGUGCGUAGGCGGGUCAUUAAGUCAGUGGUGAAAUCCUGCAGCUUAACUGUAGAAUUGCCAUUGAUACUGAUGAUCUUGAGUAUGGUCAAGGCAGGCGGAAUGUGUAAUGUAGCGGUGAAAUGCUUAGAUAUUACACAGAACACCGAUAGCGAAGGCAGCUUGCUGGGCCGUUACUGACGCUGAUGCACGAAAGCGUGGGGAUCGAACAGGAUUAGAAACCCUGGUAGUCC
rnacentral:rRNA from 1 species